rnacentral:tRNA from 1 species
AUUUAUAUAAUAUAAAAAUUAUUUUUGACUUCCAAUCAAAAUAUCUAGAUAAACUAGUAUAAAUA